UGGGGAAUAUUGGACAAUGGGGGAAACCCUGAUCCAGCCAUGCCGCGUGUGUGAUGAAGGCCUUCGGGUUGUAAAGCACUUUCGCACGUGACGAUGAUGACGGUAACGUGAGAAGAAGCCCCGGCUAACUUCGUGCCAGCAGCCGCGGUAAUACGAAGGGGGCAAGCGUUGUUCGGAAUUACUGGGCGUAAAGGGCGCGUAGGCGGUGCACUAAGUCAGGCGUGAAAGCCCUGGGCUCAACCCGGGAAUUGCGCUUGAUACUGGUGCGCUUGAAUCCAGGAGAGGUUGGUGGAAUUCCCAGUGUAGAGGUGAAAUUCGUAGAGAUUGGGAAGAACACCGGUGGCGAAGGCGGCCAACUGGACUGGUAUUGACGCUGAGGCGCGAAAGCGUGGGGAGCAAACA
rnacentral:rRNA from 1 species